CUGGCGGCGUGCUUAACACAUGCAAGUCGAACGGAGCGCCAUGGAAUGAGGUUUCGGCCAAAGGAAAUGGUUGCUUAGUGGCGGACUGGUGAGUAACGCGUGAGGAACCUGCCUUUCAGAGGGGGACGAACAGUUGGAAACGACUGCUAAUACCGCAUGACGCAUGACCGGGGCAUCCCGGACAUGCCAAAGAUUUAUCGCUGAAAGAUGGCCUCGCGCCCGAUUAGAUAGUUGGCGGGGUAACGGCCCACCAAGGUGACGAUCAGUAGGGGUUCGUGAGAGGAAGGUCCCCCACAUUGGAACUGAGACACGGUCCAAACUCCUACGGGAGGCAGCAGUGAGGAAUAUUGGUCAAUGGGCGAGAGCCUCGAACCAGCCAAGUAGCGUGCAGGAUGACGGCCCUAUGGGUUGUAAACUGCUUUUAUAAGGGAAUAAAGUUAGUCUCGUGAGACUUUUUGCAUGUACCUUAUGAAUAAGGACCGGCUAAUUCCGUG
rnacentral:rRNA from 1 species